GCAUCAAUGGGGUAGUGGUAACCUGGGUCGUUGCCAUGGACUAGGAAGUAGCAGUUCACUCGACCCGCCGGGGGUUCAAUUCCCCCUUGAUGCA